UUUAAUUAGGGCAGGUCUGGGAGGAUGCCACAUGUGGGGAGGGACGCUGGGUGGGGUGGGGAGAGGCAACAUCCCAACCUUGAACAUUUGUCUUUGGCAAGCUCAGUUCAGAGCAGAGUGUCUGCCCAGAUUCUUCUAUGUUCACAAGCAGUAUGGAAUUUGGGGAUCUUGGCAUGAGUAUUUCUCUGUCACUGUCACAGACCCCACGUCUUAUCUCUAGUCAACGUCUCACCUGCCCACUGGAGAGAGAACAUGGAGUAAUGCAGAAGAAAAAGAAAAAGAAUUUAUCUGGAAAGCUUUGAAGAAAUCAUUGACUCUUCAUUUUACAGACGAAGAAAUCCAGACCCAGGGAGACGCCUGACCAGCCUUAGGUCUCAUACCAUUAAUGGGAGAGCCAGGUCCUAGGGCCAGCCAGGACUACUGGUGGUUUGUUUCCAUCAGGAUCCAAUGUUAACA
rnacentral:lncRNA from 1 species